GUAGGUGGCAAGCGUUGUCCGGAAUUAUUGGGCGUAAAGCGCGCGCAGGCGGUCCUUUAAGUCUGAUGUGAAAGCCCACGGCUCAACCGUGGAGGGUCAUUGGAAACUGGGGGACUUGAGUACAGAAGAGGAAAGCGGAAUUCCAAGUGUAGCGGUGAAAUGCGUAGAGAUUUGGAGGAACACCAGUGGCGAAGGCGGCUUUCUGGUCUGUAACUGACGCUGAGGCGCGAAAGCGUGGGGAGCAAACAGGAUUAGAUACCCUGGUAGUCCACGCCGUAAACGAUGAGUGCUAAGUGUUAGGGGGUUUCCCGCCCCCUUAGUGCUGCAGCUAACGCAUUAAGCACUCGCCUGGGGAGUACGGCCGCAAGGCUG
rnacentral:rRNA from 1 species